rnacentral:siRNA from 1 species
UAUAGUUUCCGGUGUUGGUCC